AAUAAAAGACCGAUUUACCUGCCGCUUUACUGAUUUCAAUCAGUCAAAGAAAAUAUUAUUAAUUUAAUAUUUAAUUGUAUAAAAUCAAACAAUGUUAUUUGGUUUGUAACGGAAAAUAAGAAAUAUUUGAUGACAUAAUGUAUAGAAUUGAAAUACAACUUUAUUUGAGAAUUUCCAUUCAUUAAUGACGGCUGCCACUUGAACCGCUGUAACUUUCAAAUUUGUUAAUGUAUAAUAAAAGACCGAUUUACCGGACGCUUUGCUGUCUCGUCUAAAUGUCUGAGGAGAUUUCAAAUCAGUGUAAAACUUUAUUAAUUCAACUUUUGAUUGCCGUGAUACAAAUUUCAAAUUUUUGAAAAAAAAAAUUGAUUCGUGUAUAGAGAAGACGUAUUUGAAUAUAAUUGGUACUGUUGAUUAAAACAAUUAAAUAAAAAUUAUACUUAAAUACUAUAAGAAAAAUUACCUGCCAGAAUUUCAUCGUCAUUUAAUUUUAGACCUGAAUAAGAAUGAUAUAAUUUUUCUUUUAAAGUAAUGUUUUUAAAUAAAUAAAUAAAUAAAUAAAUAAAUAAAUAAAAUAAUUUAAACUUAAAAUUGGUGAAAUUUUCGUUAUUACGUAUCCAAGUCGAACAAAUUUGGGCCCAACUACUAAUUACAUUGUCAGAGGUUUAAGGGCUAAUUUACUUUGACUUUGCAUUUGAAGAGAGUGGGGUAAGUCAUUGUAUAAAAUCUCUUCAAAUGUUGUAAAAGGCCUCUUUUCGUCGUGGUUUUUGGCACUUCUAAAGUCUUGUGCAACCUGUGUGUGUGUGUGUGUGACCUGUUUUGCAGUUCAGCAAAAUGCAUCAGUUUACAUCUUUUCUAAACGAACAAAGUGUAAAAAAUGUGUUAUACUUAUACCAUGCUGGGUUUUUUAAAACACCAGAAAUGUUACGCGACGCUUUUAAUUAUAUCAAUAUCAAGAUUGUCUUUAAUAAUUAUUCAUUAGAAGCUUGGGAGCAAGUUUCUUAUGACCAAAUGUCGAAUCAAGUUAAUAAUAUGGGUAAGUAAUAAUACAAAUAAUAUUGUGAGCAUAAUUAUUAAUUUACAUGUUGAUUAUUAGGACAAAUGUGCAAUAAUUUUUCCGAUGAAAUCGCUCAUGGAAUAAGGAACUUAACUGAUGAUAAUGUGAAUAACAAGUGCGAUGACGAGUCCUGGUACAUGGAAAAUUUUAACUUUCCUAACGAUGUGCAAUCGACUAUGUCCAAAACCACGAUGAAAAGAGCCCUAAAUCAACCAUCAACCUCUCGUUUUGAUGAAUUUACCAACCUGCAACCCUCAACAUCUAAGGCAACAGAAUCAGUGAAUGCUUUAAAAAGACGCCUCCCUAACUUCGAAGAUGGUCCUUUAGAUACACUUGUAAAUCAAAUCGGUGCUGGUCAAAUUGACGAUAAUGAAGUCUUUGAAAAUUUUGCUGAUGAAUUUAACUUUAUUAAUAAAAAUGGAGAAAAUGAAUCAUUCAUAAAAAAGUUUAAUACAUUAGCGAGACGUAUGAGGUUUUCCUUUAAAGAUAAUGCGCCGGAGAAUCCAAUUGAAUGGAUGCAAAAUGCAAUUGAAGAACUGUUGGCGCACAUUUUUAGAGGAUUUUCAAGUGAUGACUAUGUCGGCUUAGUUCUCGAAAAUGAAGAAUUCCCCGAGCGACCUGUUUACAUUUCCUUCCGCAAAUUAUCCCAAUAUAAUGUCGCAAUGGUGAUGGAAACUGUAGGAAAUGUUCUUCAGAGCAAUCGUGCGUUCUUUGUUAAUGAUCGUUUAUCGAUACGGGUGGACAGGGUGGCUUUACCUGUGGGAAAAGGAUUUCGUACCGCCACCGAUGGAUUAGCCGUAAGUUAUAAUGAACAUUGUCUUAGUAAAAAUAGCAUAUAUGUUAUUGAAAAUGAUAACAAUAAUUGUUUAGCAUUAGCAUUAGUAGUCGCAAGAGAGUAUUGCAAUAAUAAUUUUAAAAGAUCCACUUUAGAAAAAUUUAAAGGAAUAAACGGGAAAAAACUUUUAGAACAAUUAGGUGCUGAAUUAUGUAGAGAGGCUGAUGUCGAUUUAGCAAAUGGAGGUAAUUACACACAUGUUGAGAAAUUUCAGAAAUAUUUGGCAAAUUAUACAAUUAUUGUAUACGAUGAUAGAAUGGGUCGAUCAGUGUACUAUGUCGGUCCACGGGCUCAAGGAAGGCCAAGUUUAAAUUUGAUAUUUGAGGAGAAUCAUUUCAAUGUAAUUCUAAGUACAACCGGUGCAUUCGCGACAGCGUAUUUCUGUGAUCUUUGCCGAGUACGAUAUUCACGUCGUGAUCGUCACAAAUCUUGCCCCUACACGUGUCCCUGUUGUUUAGAAAAGCCACCUUGUAAUUUAGUUCAUAGCGAUAUAAAAUGUCAAAAUUGUCAAAGAAAUUUUCGGGGUGCCCAAUGUUUUGAAAAUCAUAUUACAAAAAAUAUAUGCGCGAAAAUAAAAAAAUGCCCAACAUGUUUAACUUUCGUAAAACUUGAUUCUAAAAGUUCAAAACAUAUUUGCGGUAUGAAGUUUUGCCGAACCUGCGGUGUAAACAGACCAAUAAGGCAUUUUUGUUUCAUGAAACAAAACAAAAUUAAUCAAAACAAGCAAUUAGACAAUCAACACAAAUACUUAUUUGUUUAUUACGAUUUUGAAACAAGACAAGAAAAAACUAUCAAUAAUGCGUACCUACACGAAGUAAAUUUGUGUGUGGCACAACAAGUUUGUGCACAUUGUAUUAAUGAAGAUGACAUUUCAGUAAACUGUAAUUUUUGUGGAGUAAGACAACAUAUUUUUUAUGAGGACGCAGUAACAAAUUUGUUAAAUCAUAUCGCUAAACAAUCGAAAAAAUUCAAAGUUACAGCAAUCGCUCACAAUAUGAGAGGUUUCGAUGGCUGUUUUAUAUUACGUGAACUUUUUGCAAAUAGCAGUAGGUGGCAACCGGAGGUGGUUCGUUCGGGAACAAAAUUGUUAGUUAUAACUUGUGGUUCUUCAAUUCGUUUUAUAGACAGUUUAAAUUUUUUGCAGUUACCAUUAUCUCAAUUGCCUAAAGCAUUCAAUAUACAAGAAACAAAAGGUUAUUUUCCCCAUUUAUUUAACACUUUGAAUAAUCAAAAUUACAUAGGAAAAAUUCCCGAUCCUGAGUAUUACGGAUAUAACACUAUGAGUGAGAAAGAUCGUGUAAAAUUUUUAUCAUGGCAUUCAGAACAAGUGACCAAUAAUUUUGUGUUUAAUUUUCAAGUAGAAUUCCUUAAGUAUUGCAUUUCUGAUGUGGAUAUAUUGAGAAAAAGCUGUAUUCGAUUUCGGGAAUGUUUUUUGAAGACCAAUAAUGUAGAUCCGUUUUUAGAAUGCAUUACAAUCGCCUCAGCAUGCAAUUUAGUAUUCCGACGCAACUAUUUACGCGAAAAUUCAAUCGGUAUCAUACCAGUAUCUGGGUACAGAACCGCUGACAAACAAAGUGUCAUUGCUAUAAAUUGGCUACUUUGGGAAUCGAAAAAAAGUAACGUUCAUAUUAUCCAUAGCGGAAAUGCGCGAGAAGUCCGGUUAAAAGAGGGUAUGCUAGUUGACGGGUAUUGUGAAGAGACGAAUACCGUUUAUGAAUUCCAUGGGUGCUGGUGGCACGGGUGCGAGCUAUGUUUUUUUAAUCAAACCCAGAAAUUAUCCGAUAAAAACGACGCGUUAUUCUUGCGUCGUGAAAAUACACAAAGUAAAGAAGAGAGUAUUAGAACAUAUGGCUAUAACUUAAUUACAAUGAGGGAAUGUAUAUUUAAAGACCAAAUUAAAGAGAACCCAGAAUUAAAAAAUUUCAUUGAUAAUCGAAAUUAUUUGAAUAAACACACUCCUUUAAACCCACGCGAUGGCUUCUUUGGAGGAAGAACAAAUGCUUGUAAAUUAUAUUAUAAAUGUAAUGAAAACGAGAAAAUAGCUUAUCAGGAUGUUUGUUCCCUAUACCCAUUCAUUAAUAAAUACGGGAAAUAUCCAAUUGGGCAUCCGAAAAAGAUUUAUGUUGGGCAAGAGGAAUGCGCAAAUGUCGACCUAAAUUCUGUCGAAGGUUUAGUAAAGUGCACUGUAUUACCUCCUGCUCAACUUUACCAUCCUGUGUUACCAUUUCGAUGUAAUGGAAAAUUGACAUUUCCAUUAUGUCGUACCUGCGCUGAAGCUAAUUAUCAAGACAAUUGUUUUCACGAGGAUGUCGAUCGGCAAUUUACUGGGACAUAUGUGGCCGAUGAAUUACGUGUAGCUAUUGAAGAAGGGUACAGUAUAGUGGAACUUAUUGAAAUUUGGGAAUACAAUGUAGAAAUUUACGAUCGGGGUAAUAAAUCGGGCGGACUCUUUUCAGAAUACAUUAAUGCAUUCGUAAAAUUAAAGGUCGAGUGUUCUGGUUGGCCAUCUUGGGUAAGUACCGAUGAAGACAAAAAUGUAUAUAUUCAACAAUACGAGGAACGAGAAGGUAUAAAACUCGAUCCAACCAACGUAUCAAAAAAUUCCGGUCUCAGAUUUCUCGCUAAAAUAAUGUUAAACAGCUUUUGGGGAAAGUUUGGCCAAAAGGAAAAUCUUAAAAAAACUGAUAUAAUUAGCGAUCCCCAUGAGCUGUUUAAGUUGCUAACAAAUCAAUCUGCAAUUGUAAAUAGUCUAUUACAUAUUAACGAAGACGUUAUUCUGGCAACAUGGGAACGUGUAGAGGAAGAUAUAGCGCCCAUGAAAACGGUAAAUGUAGCUCUUGCAUGCUAUACAACAGCCGGUGCACGCUUAGAAUUAUAUAAGUAUUUAAAACCCCUUGGCAAAAGGGUAUUGUAUUUUGAUACCGAUAGUAUCAUUUUCGUUAAAAAAGAAGGGGAAUAUGAACCUCCUACUGGCGAUUUCCUAGGUGACCUCACUGACGAAAUGAUUGAAUAUGGCGAAGGUAGUUAUAUAACUGAAUUUGUCAGUGGGGGUCCUAAAAAUUAUGCCUACAAAUUUUGGAAUGAAAAUGAGCACAAAAUUCAAACUGUGUGUAAAGUCAAGGGGUUAAGUUUGCAUUAUCAAAAUGCUCAAUUAGUUAAUUUCGACAAAAUAAAAGACAUGCUGUGUAAUAACACCGACCAAACUGUUAAAUUGACCGAUCGCACAAUAAUUCGAAAUGAGACUUAUGAUGUUAUGACAAAAGAAACAACUAAGACGUAUCGUAUAAAUUAUACAAAACGACGACGUUUAGAUGAUGGUUCUUUUGACACCUUACCAUAUGGCUAUAGAGAUGUAUAAUAAUAUAAGAUGUAUUAUUUAAUCUUUUAAUAAAUAAAUAAAUCUAAUAAAUAUGAUUUCUGUGAUUUUAUUUUGAUUUAACCCAGAAUGUGUGUGUGUGUGUGUCGCGCCCGUCCCCGCGCCGCCGCCACCCCGUCCCGCGCCCGUUCCCGCGCCGCCGCCACCCCGUCCCGCGCCCGUUUCCGCGCCGCCGCCCCGUCGUCCGCGCCGCGCCCCGUCCGCGUCAUGCUGGUGAGUAACGAGAUAUAAGGAAAGAAAGAAAAAACAUGGAUCUUGCAAAGUCUUUAUUUAUUCAUGAAAUAUUUGUUAAACAUUUUGUUGCAUAGUUUGUCAUUAUUGUGAAAAUCUUUGUUAAAUAACUUUAGAAAAUCAUCAACAGAAUUGCCUAAUGCGUAGUUUAAAAGAAAUAAAGUACAGUAUUUGCCACAGACGGUUGAAGAAAAAUCUUGAAUUUGAGAAAUAUUGUAAGACCACAUCAUAGCAUUUUUUCUAAGAAAUUUUAAAAUAUUCGGAGGCGGCUGAUUUCCAAAACUAUCAAAGAAGUAUGCGAAACCAAAUUUAUCAAUGUAAACAGCCAUCCAAUGACUACCCGGGAGGUAAUCAGGGUCUCUGUUGAUAAUAACCAUAGAGGGUCUGGUGAUUAGGACAGGUAGAGUGUUAUACGCAGAAACAAGAACGUGGUGUCUUUUCUUCCGAGAGAUCAUCUCCAGACACGUUUUGAGUUGUAAAGUAUUCAUUGUACCAACUAGCCAAGUUUUGUACGUUUUGAACAGCGCACACCGAAUCGCUGAUUAUAUGAUUCACACAACAAUUCGUAUCAAAAUGUUCUCUCAAGUAACGAAGCGAUGGACACUCUAAAUCUUCAAUGUUUACAAUUUGACUUUUUGGUAAACGUUUCAAAAGUAGACGCUUCUUAUCUAUUCCUUUCACGUAUAUACACUUUGAAUUUUUCGUAGUUUCAUUCAAUAUUUCAGACAACUUUUCGUAGUCGUAAUUACCGCAGUUCCAAGAAAGCCCGUGAAAGUUAUUCGUCAACCAAUCGGCUUGCUUCUGAUAACGAUGCGGUAAGGUUGAAAGAUCAUCGGGUGGUUUAAACAAAAAGAUGUCUGGUGCGCUUUUGUUCGUAUUAAAUACAGCUAAUUCUUUUAUGGUUAAAGUUUCGGUACAAUUACCGUAAUUGAACCCUUGAAAAUCCACAAACACAACCAUUUCGGAUGACGGGUAAAAUGAAAGUAGCAAAUUUUUCAUUUGUAAUAGCAAUUUAUUUAUCACUUAUAUAAAUUUAUCAACUACUAUAAUCUACAAUUACAUUACGUUUUUUAUCAAUUUCUAUUACACUAUCAAAUUCACCAUACACUAAACAAUUGACAGUUUCUGUAAGAGCAGUGUUAAAACCAACUUCUAUUCGUAAACUUCCGUUCUUUAUCAAAUUCCAUGAAAGAGCAUUAUGCGAUGAUAAGUCAGGUGUCAAAUCAAAAACAGCUAUUGAAUAUCCAUCAGCAUAAUUAUCACGUGAAAUCCCAUUUCCAGUGUUUAGAAAAUGUAUACCAGUACCAGAAAAUAAUGUGUGGUACAUUGAAACAAAUUUCUUAUUUGGACCGAUAAAUGUAGGUUGUAAGGGUUUACUAGGAAUUUGGUUACCAUCCACGUACAAGGAUAGAUAGUUUAAACCAAAGUUUUCGAAAUUAAAUGGAUUUAAGGAAUAAUCACCGUUAAAUGCUUUAUUUGUCACAAAGCACAAUGCACAUCUUUUUGGAAGUUGGCCCAAAUAAACAUUAUCCAAUGAUUUUCCUUGUACUCCUUGCGGUAUAGUCAAAACCUUUAAUUCUGUUCGCGUAAUUGGAUAUUUUGCAGUUGAAAGCUCUAAAGCCUUUGCAUGCGCAAGUAAUACGCUUGGAUUUAUCCGAUUUCUUCUAAUCAUUAGAGUUGCAUCAGUAAUUUGAAUUUUUCCAUUAAGAUUAUUUGAUGACAUCAAUGCAAAACUAUCACGAGAACGUACAAAUUUUAAUCUCAUUUCUACACCGUUGAUUAAAAAUUUUUCUUGAUUAAAUAUAUCACAAUUUAAGUGACCAAUAAGAUCGACUUCUUUACUCGUCGACGUUAGUUUGAGUCUAUUGGCGAAUCCACUGUUCUCAUUGGUUACUACAUUCAUUUUGCCUGCCGUAUCGGCGUACCAUAAUCCACAAGUUAAAUGGGAAUUCUUCGCCCCUGAGUCAUAAUUUAAAAGUGUCUCCAAAUAACAUUUAUAAGCGUAUGUAUUAUUUGGUGGUGAAAUCAGUUUUUGAUUUAGGUAUACAUCAACUUGACUAAACAUUGAGUGGAGAAUAUUAUUAACUGGACCAAUUGUAUCUUCAGCGGUAUAAUUACUACCGUCAUCUUUGCAUAUUUUAAUACAAAGUGAAAGUAAAGUUUGCGAUAAAUCUAUAUAGUCUUCACCACCUGGUAUUACAAAUUCUAAAGGACUAUUUUCAGAUAUACUAGAUACAGUUUUGUAAUGAACCCAUUGACCGCUUUCGAUGCUUGUUUGAGUUGGCGGUAAAGCAAAAAGAUCCAAUUCACUUUUCGCGCACUCACAACUAUGAGGAUGUAAAAACGACAUUCUAGCUAAAGAUAUCUUGAUGUUUAAUAACUGAACUCGUUUUACACUUCUUUGCAGAACGACGUGAAGAACUAUUCUGACUUUUAUUUUGUACUAGCCUUCUUUUUAUAGAUCCAGAUCCUACCAAGUUGUCUAAUUUAUCUUGAGCUUUUCGUUUCAAAUUUUCAACUGACUCAUUUACACGUGUCUUGAAUGCAUCCUUUACAGGCACCUCAUUAACAAUGUCGCCAAGAAAAUUUGAACCAGUGCGUAGUGUUUCCUUACCAAUUGUUUUAACACCACUCUUUAUUAACGGCAUUACCGUACGAAAAAGUCCCCGUAAAAAACUACCAAUACCAUAACCCUUUUGGUAACUAAUUCCUUUGUAAAUAGCACCUACACCUGAACCAGCUUGAUUGAUGUAGUAAUCGUGAUAAUGACAUGAAGGCAUUACGAAAUUUUUUUAAAAUGAAGUUUAACGCACACUGUUCCAAACUGAAAUGGCACUUUCUCACCAGUUGCACUUCUUAUAUCAAUUUCAAUGUUUUCAAAUUCCCUUUUCAACAGAGGCACGUAAUGCGGAUGCGAAAAUAAUUGCGUAUGAUGUGUACCGUAAAUGUAGUGUUUAUUAUCGAUAACAACGAUUCGAAUUACUUUUGCCAUUAUAUCGCCCACCAAUUGUGGUUCAAUUAUAUCACUGUAUACGAAAAGUUGUGAAGGCAAACCCAACAUAAUGUUUGCUGGAUGUGUUGAAGUUUUACUCAGUACAUUUGUAUCCGGUUGAAAACCUAAUUGUAGACUUAAUGUCGGUGAAAAUGAUAGACUUGUCAGAUAUUUGCUACUGCUUGUUACAGUUACUCUUUUUGAACCAUCAUUUAAUCUGAACUCAACAUUAUCUUUUACUAAAACUCUUACAGAGUUUAGAGCAUCCACAAUAGAUUCGAUCGUUUCGUAGUUACCAGCUUCAAGCUUAGUCUUAUAUUUCGUCAUAAUUACAUCGUGUUCAAAUGUGAUCGUUUUCAUUUUAAGAUCGCGCAUGAAUUCUUUCGAAGACUUGUAUUUCCUUCUUCGAACCUGAUCAUCGAUCCAUGUCGCAAAACGGGGAUCUUUAAACAAUAUGUCAAUGGCUUUUUCACCUUUUUGCAUAAUCGCCGAUAAACUAAAUUCAAAAGAGCAGUAAAUAAUAUUUUCACCACUGUUGAUGGUUAAGAAGGAACACGGAUACUGUAUUUCCGAAAGUCCCACACACCAUUCACCAUCCAAAUGAACAGUUUUUGGAAGUUGUGUGCAAAAGUGCGUUGUUGUAUUUUCGGGAAAGUAAUUGGUUGAGCUGUUUGAUACCAAAGUUAAAUAAAAUUCGUUAUUCAUAUCGAUGUAAGGGAACUGCACGGAAUCCACGAGUUAAACUUUGAAGGAUAAUUUUUCCACUGCACAAAAAUUUCACAUUUACCUCUUUUAUAUCGCUUCUUCAAUACUUUUUCAAUGUGAAAUGUACUCUGGGGGUCGUACGUUACGCGCUGUAAUUCGGGGUGAUAGAAGACGCCCUCUAUUGGUUCAUCCAUUAAAUCGGAAAUUUUGUACACAACGGGUUGUCUCAUUAUAACAUCAGUUAUUUUGAAUAUUUCACCGCUCCAAUUACUCAUGUAGCCUUUUUCAAAUACGUGCUUGUACUUGGUGAUUCUGACGUAAUCUCCAACUUUGUACACAUUUUCGAGUUUGAUCGUUUUAAUAUUCUUCUUUCUCGUACUCAUAAUGUUAUCGUAUACUUGCGCAACGUUGUCAGGAUUUACCUCGUUAGGAGCCAUUUUAAUAGUACGAUGAUAAGAAUUAUUGUAAGAGUGCAUGAAUUCGGGUAAUACAUCAAUGUAUUGCAUAUUAUUUGCAAACGUAAAAUAUUUAUGCAUUUUUGUUUUUAAAGUUUUAUUGAACCUUUCUACCACAGCAGCUUUUACAUCAGGAUUAUUUGUUACAUAAUAAUUUAUAUCAUAUUGUUUAAACAAUUUUUGGACAUUUUUCGCUAGAAAUUCUUUUCCCUUGUCAGUCUGAAGAUUAACCGGAACACGCUCAUCAAAUAUUUCUUUAAAAGCUGCAGCCACUUCAUUUCCCGUCUUUGUGUAUAAAGGUUUAACCCAUGCAAACUUGGAAAAUACAUCGAUGACAGUUAAUAGGUAAUUUACACCUCGAUUAUGUUUUGCGAUGUUUCUCAUAUCUAUUAAAUCAGCUUGAAAUAAAUCGUCUAUGUUGGUUACAUGAUAACUAUUUCUAGGAAAUCGACGACGAACUUGCUUAUGUAAUGUAUAAGAUUCCACACCUUCUAGCCAUUUAUUAAUUUUUUUCUUAUGUAUAUUUGUAAACUUAGCUAAGUUGUUAGGACUCGAAAAACCAAGAGGGUCACGAGGUAUAAAAUAUCUUUCCUUUAUUUCAUCCAUUUUUGUCUACUUGCUUUCAUACGGCGACCAAGGAACUCUCAAGCGUUUUUGUUUUCUUGAUGACGAUCGCAUUGAUUUCUUCGUUAUUUGACUAUCCUCUUCUUCUUCUUCUUCUUCUGUGUCAAACUUUGACGACGAUAUUGGUUUUACUUUCACUUCGUUUUUUACUUCUUGCUUUUCAGCACCUUGUUCAUUUAUAUAUUUCAAACGUUUUGGAUUAAUUAUAAGAGUACGUGGAACGUUUAUUUUAUACAAAAUUUCCGCAAAAUUUUUCCAUCCGACAGGCUCGGCAUUUAACUUAUUACUACUCUUCAUAACAUCAGUGAUUAGAUCAAAUAUAUUGGAACCAGGAAUUGUGUUUCCAUCGUAGAUAACGUUUCCGGUUUCAUUCCAUGCAACUCCAUUGUGUGUUAAAUUGUUUAACAAAGCAUUCGCUUUAACUUGUAAGGGUCUUGGUAGGGAACUCAAAAUGUUUCGAGUAAUUCGUUCAGAUUGUUCUAAUUGAUUUUCUUUAGAAUAAAUCACAGGUAUGGUAACAGGUUCACGAGAACGACUUAUCAUUUUUAGAUAUCUUUGAAGCACUUGAUUAUACAAAAUCCAUUUUUCAUUAUCAUCAAUGUUUUUCGUAUCUAUGAUUCUUUUCAUUUCAUGAUCUAAAUCAUUUAGGGUGUUUGGCUGAGUGCUUUUGUUAUUAUGCAAACGUUCAAGUUCGGAUGAAUCAAUGAGUACCAUUUUUUUCGUAUGUUCCAUUAUUUAUUAAAUAAAUGACCCAACACACCCGAAAUUAUUGGAGCCAACAACAAUGGUAAGAAAGCACCUCCUUUUUGCACAAUUAGUUUCUUUUUUCUCUGGAGAGAUAAUUUACGAUUUACUAAAUUUCUCAGUAAUUUUUUAUGUUUCUUUAAUUUGCUCUUUUGAGAACCAUUUAAAGGAACUUUCCCUAAUAACGUAUUGUGAGCGCACUCGCAUAUACAAUGCACCAAGUUUUUAUCGGCUGAAUUAAGAAUUGAUUUACGAUAAACAGGUGUUGUUCUAUGCAAAAAUUUUAAUAACUCGGCGUUUCUUUCUAACGCUCGCGACAUCUCAACGACGACUGACGCAUAAACUACUUACUUUUAUAUUUAUAAUCUC